GGCUCAGGAUGAACGCUAGCUACAGGCUUAACACAUGCAAGUCGAGGGGCAUCAGGAAGAAAGCUUGCUUUCUUUGCUGGCGACCGGCGCACGGGUGAGUAACACGUAUCCAACCUGCCCUUUACUCGGGGAUAGCCUUUCGAAAGAAAGAUUAAUACCCGAUGGCAUAAUGAUUCCGCAUGGUUUCAUUAUUAAAGGAUUCCGGUAAAGGAUGGGGAUGCGUUCCAUUAGGUUGUUGGUGAGGUAACGGCUCACCAAGCCUUCGAUGGAUAGGGGUUCUGAGAGGAAGGUCCCCCACAUUGGAACUGAGACACGGUCCAAACUCCUACGGGAGGCAGCAGUGAGGAAUAUUGGUCAAUGGGCGCUAGCCUGAACCAGCCAAGUAGCGUGAAGGAUGAAGGCUCUAUGGGUCGUAAACUUCUUUUAUAUAAGAAUAAAGUGCAGUAUGUAUACUGUUUUGUAUGUAUUAUAUGAAUAAGGAUCGGCUAACUCCGUGCCAGCAGCCGCGGUAAUACGGAGGAUCCGAGCGUUAUCCGGAUUUAUUGGGUUUAAAGGGAGCGUAGGUGGACUGGUAAGUCAGUUGUGAAAGUUUGCGGCUCAACCGUAAAAUUGCAGUUGAUACUGUCAGUCUUGAGUACAGUAGAGGUGGGCGGAAUUCGUGGUGUAGCGGUGAAAUGCUUAGAUAUCACGAAGAACUCCGAUUGCGAAGGCAGCUCACUGGACUGCAACUGACACUGAUGCUCGAAAGUGUGGGUAUCAAACAGGAUUAGAUACCCUGGUAGUCCACACAGUAAACGAUGAAUACUCGCUGUUUGCGAUAUACAGUAAGCGGCCAAGCGAAAGCAUUAAGUAUUCCACCUGGGGAGUACGCCGGCAACGGUGAAACUCAAAGGAAUUGACGGGGGCCCGCACAAGCGGAGGAACAUGUGGUUUAAUUCGAUGAUACGCGAGGAACCUUACCCGGGCUUAAAUUGCAGUGGAAUGAUGUGGAAACAUGUCAGUGAGCAAUCACCGCUGUGAAGGUGCUGCAUGGUUGUCGUCAGCUCGUGCCGUGAGGUGUCGGCUUAAGUGCCAUAACGAGCGCAACCCUUAUCUUCAGUUACUAACAGGUCAUGCUGAGGACUCUGGAGAGACUGCCGUCGUAAGAUGUGAGGAAGGUGGGGAUGACGUCAAAUCAGCACGGCCCUUACGUCCGGGGCUACACACGUGUUACAAUGGGGGGUACAGAAGGCAGCUAGCGGGUGACCGUAUGCUAAUCCCAAAAUCCUCUCUCAGUUCGGAUCGAAGUCUGCAACCCGACUUCGUGAAGCUGGAUUCGCUAGUAAUCGCGCAUCAGCCACGGCGCGGUGAAUACGUUCCCGGGCCUUGUACACACCGCCCGUCAAGCCAUGGGAGCCGGGGGUACCUGAAGUACGUAACCGCAAGGAUCGCCCUAGGGUAAAACUGGUGA
rnacentral:rRNA from 1 species